GAACUUUGUUGUUGUGUGUUAAGUUUCAUAGGUUAUAGUGUUUAUUCUUUUGCUAUGAUAAUAAAAAAUAAAAGCUGCCUUGUAACCUUUUGGAGAAGGUAGGGUAAAAUUAACCUGUGUAGGAAAAUUUAACUCUCCAUAUAAUUAACUCAAGGCUUUUGUGUGACAGUAUUCACUGUCUAGCACCAUGGGGGUGCGGGUUCUGCCCAUGACAGCCAUUUUGAUAUAUUGAUAGCAUUUUUAUCAAUAUAUGAGUUCCAGCACCUCAUAUUUUAUAUAUAAAAAGCACUAAAUUAACUGCUAUCAGGCUUCCCCUUUAGUCAUAUUUUUCAUAAAUGAGACUAAAUCCUCAUUUUUUAAGUCCAUAGCCUCCAACAUUCCUUAGGUGAAAAUACAUUUCUUACUCCCCUGACAAGAGACUCUCCUUGACCCGCCCCCACACAUUUCCUAUCAGAAGAAGGGCGAGUGCCGCCACCAGGCCACAACACACAUGCCUUCCCCCGUUGGAAAAAGAAAAUUAGGUCGUUUUGGUAGAUAUGAUAUAAAGGAUUAAGCAAAAAUGAGUUGAUGAAAUUGAUGAAACAGAGGAUGUUUAAUUAUAUUAUUUUAAAUUAAAAUACGUAAAUGAAAAUAAGGUUAGAAGGAUUUGCUGGAAAUAUGAUCUGAACUAGAAUACAAAAUUGGGAGGUGAGAGGAGGUCAUGGAAAUAAGUAAAGGGAAAAGGUUAUGUAAAGGUUUAAUCUGUUUUUGUUCUAUUCCAACUCAAUGCAUUUUUAUAUUUUUUGUUUCGUCUUCUUUUUUAUUCUAUUUUAUUGUUCACUUUUUUCUUGUUAUUUCUCGCUUUGUUAUGGUUAAAUUUUUCUUUGUAUUUUGUAUUGUUUUUCUUUCUCUUUUUUGUAAAUUUAAACUUGGAAUAAAUAUCAUUUUUUAAAAAACAACAACAACAACACACAUGCCUUCCCCCAUCCUGACCACCCCUUAAUCCCGAUUUUAUUUUAUUCUUUGGUAGAUUUACAAAAAGAAAACACGCACACCAAUAAAUACAUUUUAGAAAGGGGGAAGAUUAAGCGCAGGUAAACAAAGCAUUCUUUAAAAUAAAAUUAAAAGACUCCUUGCGCUGCGCUGCGCUGCGCUGUUUCCACCCAGGGCAGCCCUGCCUUCUGCAUGGCCCUCUGAGAUGGCGCAUCACACAGGAUUGGGUUUUGGCCUGGCCUGCCUUUAGCAGAUGCUGCGCUGGGGUGCAAAUAUCCGCCCAGUGCCCCCAAAUUACCACGGAUAGUGUUGGGGUGGCUGUCGCUGCGCACUGCCAGCCAUCCGGGGGGCGCAACUCUCCCCCAUGCUGCUGCAGGAGAGCGAUCUCCGCAGAGGCUUGGGAAUGAACUUGCGCCCCUCCUAAGCCUCCUCGGGAGGAGAGCGAUCCCCGCAGAGGCUUGGGAGGGAAGCUACACGCCCACCAGCCUUAUGGUUGGCUGGGCGCAGCUGGUGGGCGUGCAGGGAAAGGGGAGGCUGCUGGCAAAGCUGCACAGCUCCCCCACUUGCUGGGGUGCCCCUGAGAGGCCGGCGCCCUGGUGAGAUGCACCACUAAGCCCUAUGGGAAAGACGGCUCUGGCUUUGGCAGCUGCAACCGCUUCUUCUCCUCCUUUCCCACUCUCCAGCAGCCACUUCGAGGUGCCCAAGGGAGGAGGUUGGCAGCCAUGGAGAGCCAACUGUAUGCUCCCUCGCAGCCGCCAACACCAUCACUUGGAACAAGUGCUGGCUCAUCCUCCUCCCAAGCUUGGUGGCGAGUGAAAUAGGGACCUUCCGGGAUCAAAUCAUAAACCGGGAUGGCUUUCGUAAUUCCGGGACUGUCCCUGCGAAAUUGGGACACUUGGAGGGGAUGUAAGUCUUUCUUCAUUAGAGAACCUCAAUUAAAUUGCCACCAUUUGCUUCUUCAUCUCUACUCCCUAUUCAUUUUGUCCAUGUUAUGCCAUCCUAUAAUCCUGUAUCUUGUGGCCAAAUUGCACCUUACAUUGUUUCUGUUUAGUCGUUCAGUCGUGUCCGACUCUUCGUGACCCCCUGGACCAGAGCACGCCAGGCACUCCUGUCUUCCACUGCCUCCCGCAGUUUGGUCAGACUCAUGUUUGUAGCUUUGAGAACACUGUCCAACCAUCUUGUCCUCUGUCGUCCCCUUCUCCUUGUGCCCUCAAUCUUUCCCAACAUCAGGGUCUUUUCCAGGGAAUCUUCUCUUCUCAUGAGGUGGCCAAAGUAUUGGAGCCUCAGCUUCACGAUCUGUCCUUCCAGUGAGCACUCAGGGCUGAAUUCCUUAAGAAUGGAUAGGUUUGAUCUUCUUGCAGCCCAUGGGACUCUCAAGAGUCUCCUCCAGCACCAUAAUUCAAAAGCAUCAAUUCUUUGGCGAUCAGCUUUCUUGAUGGUCCAGCUCUCACUUCCAUACAUCACUACUGGGAAAACCAUGGCUUUAACUAUACGGACCUUUGUUGGUAAGGUGAUGUCUCUACUUUUUAAGAUGCUGUCUAGGUUUGCCAUCGCCUUUCUCCUAAGGAGCAGGCGUCUUUUAAUUUCGUGACUGCUGUCACCAUCUGCAUUGAUCAUGGAGCCCAAGAAAUAAAAUCUCUCACUGCCUCCAUUUCUUCCCCUUCUAUUUGCCAGGAGGUGAUGGGCCCAGUGGCCAUGAUCUUAGUUUUUUUGAUGUUCAGCUUCAGACCAUAUUUUGCGCUCUUCUCUUUCACCCUCAUUAAAAGGUUCUUUAAUUCCUCCUCACUUUCUGCCAUCAAGGUUGUGUCAUCUGCAUAUCUGAGGUGCACCUUACAUUAGAUAAUGUUUAAUUAGAUAGUGUCUGUUUUAAUUUCAGUUUAUAAAUAGUGGCUGUGGGGAAAUGGGGCUCAUGGGCAUGGGGUCAAAAGGCAGAAAUGAGCGGGUAAACCUUUCUUUCUUUCUUUCUUUCUUUCGGUCACAAAAUAGUCCUGAUGAAAAUGCUUCUGCCCUCAGCUGCUUAAUACCUCAGGAGGGAAUCUGCUGUAAACACUCAUUUUAGUUUCCCUGCUGUACAGUGGUACCUCAGGUUACAAACACUUCAGGUUACAGACUCCGCUAACCCAGAAAUAUUACCUCGGGUUAAGAACUUUACCUCAGGAUCAGAACAGAAAUCAUGUAGUGGUGGCGUGGUGGCAGUGGGAGGCCCCAUUAGCUAAAGUGGUACCUCAGCUUAAGAACGGACCCAGCUUAAGAACGGACCCCUGGAACGAAUUAAGUUCGUAACCAGAGGUACCACUGUAAUGAGUACCAUCUUUGGAAGGGACAUUUUCAUUGGGAACAGUGCACAGGGGAAGGUUGAGCCAGCUUUAUAGACAACACACACACACCCCGCCCCCAAAAAACUGAUUUGCUCCACCUAGAAUUUUUAUGCUGGCUAUUUGGCCAUAAUAAUAAAACAUUCACCUAGAAUUUUAGCAGAGUUUGGCAUGGGCGAAUCUAUAAACAUACUGUAGCUAUUUGAAAAUGAAAGACUAUGAAAGAACAUACAGGACUUUCCUUUAUUUUUCCUCUUUAAAUGCUGGCAGUAAUAAUUAAAUUUUAAUAGUAUCCAUACUUACUAGAAGCCUUCAGAUUGCUCAGAAUAACUGUUAGGAAGAGUAAAACACUAGGAAUUCAACCUGUGUGCCCACCUUGAAUCUGCUGAAGCCUCAUAAGAUAACAGAAGGCAGUGCAAUGAAAGAAUGGGAUGUUUCAGGACAUCUCAAUGACGUUUUUUAUUCAAACAUUAUAUACUCCGCUAUCAGCAAGAAAAGAACUGUGAUUAGACAUACAUAGUGAGUGUGAUGGAUGAAUAAAAUGCCCUAAGCAACAUUCUUCAUUUCUUAAAAGUCCACAUUCAUUCAAAUAUUCUAGAUGCUUUUCAUCAGCUUUCACUAUUUCUCCUUUUCUAAUAAGCCUCAUGCAUUUAGAAAGUAGUGUAUUUAGUAUUCUCAGUUUUAUUUUCUAAAUUACAUGCAUUUUUCUUUGGCUCUGUGAAGUGACAGCAGGCAUAAAAAGAAGCCAGUGUUUAUUUUAGCUUUUCCUGACCUACUUUGGCUAAUUGUCAGCCACAAGGACAUCGCCAACAAAAGUAUGACAUACAUUCGUUGUAAUACAUGAACACAAUCUUAUUCAUGCAGUAUAUUUGAUAUAAAGUUGCUGCAGGGAAGUCUAAAAGGUGGCUGUGAAUUGAAAUGCUAAAAUUAUGUUCACCUUUGAUUUCCAAGUGCCCUGGACUGGCAAAAUGGCAGUACCAGUAAGGGGGGAAACUAUUAUUUGCAACCACUUCAUCCUCCCAACAACAGAAGAGGCUUUCAUUAUUUUGUCAAUUAACUGCUGUUUUGGAAGACAUUUGCAUAAUAUCACUUGAAUAAUUUUGCUGAAUUGCGUUUUAGCAUCACAGAAAAAAAGUUGAAAGCAGAGUUAUUUAGUCUAAUCACUUAACGCUGAGAUUGAAGUGUAGGAAACAUCUAAAGAUGCCUUAUUCUGAGUCAGGCGGUCUGCUAAUCUGUGGAUUUCAGCCAUACCUGGAGGUGUCAGAAACUGAGCCUAGCAUCUUCUGCAUGUGAGAAAUGUACUCCACCACUGUGUUAAGGCCCUUUCCCUGUGUCUAGCCAUUUGCUCUUAUAACAAGUUACAAUGACUGAUAUUUGCCAUAUGUCCAGCACUUUCCAUAGUAAAGUCGCCUGUGUAUGCUUUCUUAAUGGAUCCAGAAAUUCCCAAAGUGCAGCCUUCCUGGGAUUGGUGUGGGGAAAAUGCAUAUCUGGGUGCUUGCCAGCACAAAAACUUAAUAAAAAAUGAUGCUAGAGAAAAAGCUAUACUACAUCUCUUGUCCCUCAAGAUUUCUUAACAUUAAAUUUAUGAACUGCUGUUUUAGUACUGCUGCUUUGUUCUAUCCCCCACCCCAAUAAAGGCAGAAAACCUAUUAUUCCCAUUUUUAUGGAUAAUCUGCAAGAUGCAGGGAUAUCAAUCUUUCCAUGUGGUGCUUACGAAACCUGUAAUGAUACUUCAUCACGUUUCCUUUGUUUCACUACAUGCCCUCUGAUUUUAAAGAAAAUUUGGUAUUGUAAUAUUCUGUAAUCAAUGUUAAAUCAUAGUGAUGACACAAUGUAUAUUUACAUACAGACUAUAUGUGUUAUCCAUAUGAGCACAUCCAUCUACCCACAAAUUUUAUAAAAUAAUGAUUUACAAGCACCUGCCAUUAGUGGGUCCCCUUCUCUCUUGUCUCUCAGGUGCCAUGCCCUGAGAAGACAUCCAGGCUGAUUUUUCACCUGUAAUGCCAAGCAAAAGGGUUGAUUGGUGCCUAUUAACCUUUAGAAGACCAAGAGCAUAAGCUCAAGGAAAUCAUUUUGUGCAGUACUGCAAAGCUUUGAGGAUGCUGUCUUCAUCCUUCAUCUAAAAUGUCUGUAUUUAUUUUCAGGACUGAUAAACUGUCAGUCGAAUUAUGAGGUGCAGGCCUUGAGGUUAAUUUAUAGAAAAAUGCUUCUUUAUGGAUACAAAUAAAUCUACCUUUCCAGGCUCUAGUUAAUGACUUACAGUGUAAUCCUGUGCUUUUUUACUUGGAAGUAAAUCCCACUGAGUUCAGUAGUAUUUAUUAUCUAGCAGGUGCAUAUAAGAUAGAAGAAGGUAGGUAGCUUUUAAAUCUAAAGUGGAAGAUGCACAUGUUUCAAACCUUAGGCUGUUUUCUGUUCAAUUAGGAUGUAGUCAAGAUAAUAUAGUUCACAUUCUUUCACUUUUAAAAAAUCCAGCAACAACUACCUAUUCCGUUUCUUUGCUGAUGUGAACAAGAAGUCAAGGAAUAAUUUGCCAUUUUAUCAUUUUGUCUUGUAAAUUACCUAGAUCGCUUCUUUGGUGGGAAGAAUUAAUAGAAUACGCCUGUAGCCCAGUCCUAAAUAAGGUCUGCUCAGACAUUUUCUUGAUUUCAGUUCCUAGGAAAUGGACUCUAGACAGCAGUCAAAGAAGCCCAUAACUGGAAAAAUCUAUCCUGAAUACUUAGUGUCCAUGUACAACAUAUUUGAUAUAACCUGGAACUGGGAGGAAAGCCUGUGUGGAAAGUGGACAUGUGUGGGCAUGUGUGGCAGAAAGUUCAUGGCUUAUCCAAGAUACCCAUUUUAUCUAUCUUCCCUUCCGCACAAUAAUCCCGUAUUAUCUCCUUCUCUCUUCCUAUAUCUGUGAUAUUGCACAGCAUAUGGAGAAAGGAUUACAUGUCUCCAAGUAGCUAGUACUGAUGAUUGCUAAAUAAAGCCUCCAUGUUCAGAAAUAACGUACCUUCAAUUACCAGAUGCUGGGAAUAAGAUACCUCUCUCAUGCCAUGCCUGUGAGCUUCCCAAAGGCACCUGCCUGGCUUUCAUAAACAGAAUGCUGAACUAAAUGGCCCCUUGCUAUGUUCUGGCAAAGUAAUGUAUGCUUUCUUCAGCAGCAGAGGUCCUGAAUAUCACUUGGCUAACAAUAAGACCGGAUGAAGGGUGAGGGAUGGGAAUCUGUGGAAAGGAAGAUAGGCCGGGCACACAAGUCCAUGAGUAUUUGUUAGGAUACAGGUCACUUGCUUUUCUACCAUUGAAACAACCAACAGAAAAUAAGUGGCACAAUAAUAACAGUAGGGGGAAGAAGAAAGGGCAAACCCACAAACACCCGCAUGUCUCAGUCUAGAGUAGAAUACAUUUAAGAGGAAAAAUGCAUCCUUCCUAGACUAGGCAGCCUGCCAUAGAAAAUAACUGAAACGAGUGGCAUUUAGUUCGUCAUCAAAUUGGCUUAGAAUUCAGGUGCUGGGCUUUGCAAGUGAUGUGAAUAACAGUUGUAUCUCCAGGUAAGAUAACCAUAGAGUAGGGAGAAUGAACAACAGCAAAAAAACAAAAACAAAAAAACCCCAUACCUUUCAUUGUGGCAGUGAAACAGUGGGGAGUUAUAAAAGCAGAGUGCCCUUAUAAAUAGGCUGCCUACAUAGGACUGUGCCCACUGCUAGGUAACGUAGUGAGCGCAGCUUUUGUGUUAUGCAAAAGAUUCCACUAGGAUCUUCCCCAUGAGUAGCUGCCAAACACAACAAAAAAAGUAGAUUACAUAUUUGCCAGAGCUACCCAAAUAUUUAUCUGGAACUUCAAAAUGUUUUUCUGGGGAUCUACUUAUUUCUGUCCAAUGCCUAGUGGAGGAAACAAACAAGACAAUUGUUGUAGUUCCUUACUUUGAAUAUGUGCAGUCGGCCUUCUUUUUAGGGUUGUUGCCUGGAGGAUUUCCCAACGCAAGUGCCGUAUGUGUAGGAGCGUCUGGAAAAUACAAAUUCCUUAAUGCAACACAGCCUCAUAUCUGUGCCUACCAGAUUAUGAUAACCAAAUAAAAAGUAGCUGAGGCUGAGCAACCAUGCGCUAACAAGUUAUUAGAUAAUGUGUUUUUCUUUCCAAUUACUUACCCAUGAAAGGUAUAUAUUGAAAUUAUUAAAAGUGAAUUAAUUCAGCUUUCUAAUUAAGAAGAAAAUUAGGAAGGGGACUGACUUAUUUAUUCUAGAACUAUAGUUAACCAUUUUUAAAAUGCACGCCAGGCUAGAGCCUUCCUAAUUACUUAGCUCCUGUCACUUUUCAUUACCUUGGAAAUCAUGUUGUUCACAUGGUAAAGGUGGAGUACAAUAUGUCCUAAAGGGAAGCAGGGGGUAGGCAGGAAAAUUGCUUUGGGCAGGCUGUUUAUGCAAGUGCUCCAUCUACUCCUUAUCUGUAUUCUGGUCCCAGGAGGGGCUGCAUAUAUGAGUUCAGGGCAAUUGGACUUUUAUUCCUGUAUUCUGCUAGAAAGGCUGUUGGCUUUUAUAUGGAAUAGAUCUGAAGGGUUCCAGUUGUAAGCAGGGAACUCACAAACUACGCCAGCCUCUAUCAAGCACAUUUGGAAACUGUGAAAGGUGAAAUGUGCUGGCUGAACACAGUGAUUUUAGUUUUUUUAUAAAUGAAGGAAGACAAUCAGGGUUGGCAUAAUACACCCCAUUUACAUGUAACACCAUGUAAAACGUGUAAAACCAUUGCAGAGUUACAGUGCUUUCUGUGGCUGUAGAGACCAAUACUGGAGAGACAUGUUUUGUUGCAGCUGGGACAGCUAGAUGCCUUUCCUCUGCCCCAGCUGCAAAAAAAACAUGUCUCUUCAGUAUUGGUCUCUACAGCCACAGAAGGCGCUGUAACUCUGCAGUGGUUUGACUUCACCCCUGAAGGCACACUCUUCCAUUGUCUCCCAAGACAUACAGAUGCCAACAAUCUGGUAAGGUUUCCGGCCACUUCCACAGUUGUUCUCAUGCUGAGGAAUCUUAAUGGCAUUCACCAAUAUGGUUCCUUGCAGCAUGUUUAGCCCACCAUGUAAGUGAUGUUCAGACAGAACACUUCCAGUGCAGGAGCAACCUCAGAGCAAGUAGCAAGGAUGCUGACUGGUUCGUAAUAAGGAAAUCUUGAUAGAUCAUCAUAUCCCAGUCAACAUCUCCUAGAGAGAGGGGUGAGAUAAAGCAUGGAGAGCUUUCUGGUCCUCCUCCCUUCUCCUCUCGUUGCUUGCUUACAAGUAAAGAGACAGCAAUAUUAGGGAGAAUAGCAUGUCCUGUUUGCUCCUGGCAUUGGCAGUAACCCCAGCAUGGGGUUAGGCAUUGGCAGUUGGUCAAUAAUACAGACCCCUCAUGUCAGACCUGUCUUUCCAGGAUUCAAGCAGAGAUGUCUAGAUCACAAGGGUGUAUGUGCCUGUAAAUAAAACCUAUCUUUCAAGAAUGUAAUAUAUUUGUAGAACACAAUUCUUUCUCCAGUAUCCACUAAAAUACAGGCUUGUCCAACUUCAAAGCGACUGCGAUCUACUCCAACUAUAAAAAAAUAGUGAUCUACCCACUGGAUUGACCAAGGUUGUUGAGCUUUUUUUAAUAAGUCAAAAUUGUUGGGCUUUUUGAGGGAGAUCAAAGCUGUUUUAGGGGGGUGGGAGGGGUCCCAAGAUCUACAGUGAUCUACCACAGGCACCCCACGAUCUACCAGUAGAUCACGAUCUACCUGUUGGCCAUCCCUGCACUAAAACAAUGAAAAUGGCUCACCCUCUCUUUAAAAACAAGGCAGCAUUGUUUAAUUUUCCUUCACAAUAUUAUUGGUAAGCUGACACAAACAACCUUGCACUUCUGCUUUUGGGUGAGGACAUCUGACUGGAAUAGGUAGCUGUUUGCAUAAUGUUUAGCACAUCUUCUAUCACACUUCACAGUUUCAAUAUGCUGCAGAGACAUUAAUGUCAUAAGGGCUUUUGCAAGUUAGCAAGUCUGUUUAUAGAUCAGCCUCUGCUAUUGUUGAGUGCCCGCAGCAGGGUGAAAUACUUUUCAUAUACAAUGCCCUCCUGUCCCCAAAAGAUAGCAUAGUCAUUGACACUAGCUGUUGGAAAUAAAGUUUGUGCUCAUUCCCCUGAUGUUUAUUACUGUGUUGCCCAGUUGCUUCUGAGCAAAACUUCUGAGUAAAACAAGAAAUCGGGCAACAAAUUCUUCCUAGAAUCUUAUCCCCCAUAAAAAGUGUUGUAGGCAUCAAAGUUAAGUGGCUUCUAGCUAUAUAGGUAUAAAAGAAUAUGGAAAAAUUGGUUUUUAAUGUGUAAAAAUCUAAUGUUACAAUAUAUUAAGAUUAAGGAUUAGGAUUAAAAAGGAGGGAAAGGAAUUGUUGGAUUAACAAAUUGAAUUGGAAUACAAAAGAGGGAGGUAUGAGGAGGUCCAGGAAACAAGUAAAUGUAUUUUUUUAAAAAAAUGAUAUUUAUUAAGGUUUCCAAUAAAAAGAACACAUC
rnacentral:lncRNA from 1 species